CUCGCCUGCAUGAAGUUGGAGUUGCUAGUAACUGCAGGUCAGCAUACUGCGGUGAAUACGUUCCCGGGCCUUGUACACACCGCCCGUCAUGCCAUGGGAGUCUGUAAUACCUGAAGAUGGUGAGCCAACCCUUUUUUUAGGGGGGCAGCUAUCUAAGGUGGGACAGGCGACUGGGGCAAAGUCGUAACAAGGUAGCCGUACCGGAAGGUGCGGCUGGAUCACCUCCUUU
rnacentral:rRNA from 1 species